rnacentral:rRNA from 1 species
UACGUAGGGGGCAAGCGUUGUCCGGAAUCAUUGGGCGUAAAGAGCGCGUAGGCGGCCCUGUAAGUCCGCUGUGAAAGUCAAGGGCUCAACCCUUGGAUGCCGGUGGAUACUGCGUGGCUAGAGUGCUGGAGAGGAGACUGGAAUUUACGGUGUAGCAGUGAAAUGCGUAGAUAUCGUAAGGAAGACCAGUGGCGAAGGCGAGUCUCUGGACAGCAACUGACGCUGAGGCACGAAGGCCAGGGGAGCAAACGGG